AGGUGUCAGUCUGCCCCUACUGGGGGGUGCCUCCCAGUUAGGCUGCUCGAGGGUCUGGGGUCAGUAUUGCAUCUAUUAGAUUCUUCUCUCUUUUCUUCUUUAUUAGUCUUGCUAGCGGUCUAUCAAUUUUGUUGAUCCUUUCACGUCUGGUCCUGGACUCUUUUUGGUUGGUAAGCUAUUGAUUAUUGCCACAAUUUCAGCUUCUGUUAUUGGUCUAUUCAGAGAUUCAACUUCUUCCUGGUUUAGUCUUGGGAGAGUGUAUCUGUCGAGGAAUUUAUCCAUUUCUUC
rnacentral:lncRNA from 1 species